rnacentral:rRNA from 1 species
AACAGGGAUUGCCUCAGUAGCGGCGAGUGAAGCGGCAAAAGCUCAAAUUUGAAAUCUGGCGUCUUUGGCGUCCGAGUUGUAAUUUGAAGAAGGUAUCUUUGGGCCCGGCUCUUGUCUAUGUUCCUUGGAACAGGACGUCACAGAGGGUGAGAAUCCCGUGCGAUGAGAUGACCCGGGUCUGUGUAAAGUUCCUUCGACGAGUCGAGUUGUUUGGGAAUGCAGCUCUAAGUGGGUGGUAAAUUCCAUCUAAAGCUAAAUAUUGGCGAGAGACCGAUAGCGAACAAGUACAGUGAUGGAAAGAUGAAAAGAACUUUGAAAAGAGAGUGAAAAAGUACGUGAAAUUGUUGAAAGGGAAGGGCUUGAGAUCAGACUUGGUAUUUUGCAUGCUGCUCUCUCGGGGGCGGCCGCUGCGGUUUACCGGGCCAGCAUCGGUUUGGAGCGGCAGGAUAAUGGCGGAGGAAUGUGGCACGGCUUCUGCUGUGUGUUAUAGCCUCUGACGAUACUGCCAGCCUAGACCGAGGACUGCGGUUUUUACCUAGGAUGUUGGCAUAAUGAUCUUAAGUCGCCCGUCUUGAA